rnacentral:rRNA from 1 species
AGUUGAUCCUGGCUCAGAUUGAACGCUGGCGGCGUGCUUAACACAUGCAAGUCGAACGCGAAAGGGACUUCGGUCCCGAGUAGAGUGGCGCACGGGUGAGUAACGCGUGGAUAAUCUGCCCCUGCAGCUGGAAUAGCGACUGGAAACGGUCGAUAAUACCGGAUACGCCCUUGUUUAACCAUGAGGGGAAAGGAGACCUCUGCUUGCAAGUUUCCGUGCAGGGAUGAGUCCGCGUCCCAUUAGCUUGUUGGCGGGGUAACGGUCCACCAAGGCGACGAUGGGUAGCCGAUUUGAGAGGAUGAUCGGCCACAUUGGAACUGAAACACGGUCCAAACUCCUACGGGAGGCAGCAGUGGGGAAUAUUGCGCAAUGGGCGAAAGCCUGACGCAGCGACGCCGCGUGAGGGAUAGAAGGUCUUCGGAUCGUAAACCUCUGUCGGAAGGGAAAAAGGCGCAGGGUGCCAAUCAGCCCUGCAUUGAUGGUACCUUCGGAGGAAGCACCGGCUAACUCCGUGCCAGCCGCCGC